AAAUUACCGUGCACGUUAAACAAGAAAACAAGGCGGAUACAAGAGAGACAAGACAAGUUACUGUUUUGCUAAUUUGUUUUCGUUUUUAGAGAACCAACAAAGCACAGUUCGUUGAGCAAUUUUGCGUAGUGAGUGUUUUAUUUGUUUUGUUAAAAAGGGUUGCAGCAUUUUGUAUUCCUAAGCAAAUUUGACGAAAUGUCUGAUAAAGGUGACAGGAGAACGUCUAUAAGUUCUAACCUCGACGACCCACCAAAUUCAAGACUCUUCAUCAUCGGUAGUAAAAUGUUAUCCGAACAAGAUUUUCGGGAUGCCUUUGAAUCAUUUGGUCACAUAGAGGAAAUAUGGAUGGUCAAGGAUAAACAAACUGGAGAUAAUAAGGGUGUUACCUACAUUAAAUAUUCUCGAACUUUGGAAGCCGCGGAAGCUUUGGAAGCUAUGAAUGGAAAAUGUAUAGGAAAUUUAACUAGGAGCAUCAGAGUAAUGAUAGCGGCAAGCCGUGAUCAAGGUUCAAAAAGGGAGUGGAAUGAAGAAGAAAGAAUUCUAAGACUAUUUGUGAUUGUUCCAAAAAACAUGACGGAUUCUGAAUUACACGACUAUUUUAAAACUUUUGGGACGAUAGACUAUGCUACAAUAAUGAGAGAUAAAGGAACUCGCGAAAGCAAAGGUUUUGCUUACGUGAAAUAUUUCAGGUUUUCUCAUGCUGCUGCUGCUUUUGAAAAGUGUGAUCGAAAAUAUAAGGCUGUAUUUGCUGAACCUCGAAAACCAUAUUUGAAGAAUGAAGAAAAAUUCCAAGUUAAUUUUAAUUCGAUAAACAAAAGUACGUCGUUACCGAUACCUGAUAUAAACAAUCCGACUGGUUGUACGAAGUUAAUUGCAAUAGUUAGUCCACAACUUAAUCAGGAUCAACUGUGGAAAUUAUUUGAUAUCAUACCAGGUUUAGAUUAUUGUCAUCUUACAUUAGAAGGUCAUCCUACGCCAAAUAGAGGAGUUGCUUCAGUUGUUUAUAACAGUGCACAAUCAGCGUCCUAUGCAAAAGAAAAGUUACACGGAUUUGAAUAUCCUCCUGGAAAUAGAAUAAUAGUAAAAACAGAUCUUGAGGCUGUUCAAAAUUUUGAAUCUACAUGUGCAGAGCAAAAACAGACAGACAUAAUACAGAUUACCGAAACAAUAGCCCAUGCUUCCAGUUUGAUUCAAGGUGCUGCUCUGUCUUCAGAUAACGUUUUACAAACCAAGCUGGGCUUAACUUCAGUUUCUAAAGAUGCUGAUGUUAAGAGCAGUAUAAAAUUGCCUGAUUUACAACCCUUGGCCUCUGAAGAAGAAUCAACUGUUUCAAGGUGUUUUAUUGUUUGCACACCCAGUCCGCUACCCAAUGCAGUCUUGAAAAAUGUGUUUUCUCGUUUUGGGAAUUUAAUUGAUGUUUAUAUGUUGAAUAACCGAAACUGUGGUUUUGCAAAGUAUGCAAAUGCAGAAUCAGCAGAGACUGCCAUUAAAACCUUACAUGGAGCAGAAAUUUGUGGAAUUCGAAUGAAAGUAUUAAAAGCUGAGGAGAAGCAGGAUCAUAAUCGAAAACGGCAACGAAUCGACGACAAAUGAUGGAUUUGUAUGAUUGAGGUUUUGGACAACGCCCAGGGGGUGAGACGUCUACACAGCGUUUGCUUUCCAAAGCGAUACCUUCCCACUGGAUUGCACCGAUAUCACCUUCAACGUGUGCAAGCGCUAAAAGCAAGAAGUGGUUAAAUGUGAGGAUUUUUUUUUUGUGGGGACAUUGAAGGAGUUAACGUACGCGACCUCCGUUAAAUCAGUGCAAGAACUAAUUGCACGUGUGAGUGCUGUGACUGGAACAAUUCGUCUAAAUCUAGCUAUGAGUGAGAGGAUCGAGACUUCAAUGGCCAGGCGAAUUCAAAUUCCUCUAUGCGGAUUUCUCAGUAGAAAAGGUGCAACAUCUGAAUGCUCAACAGGUGUAUUUGUAUAUCACCAUAUCGCUGCACUUGCCCUACACACACAUUAAAAAUAAUAAAUGUAUUUCGGACCAAUUAUUCGCGUUCUUGGGACGUACAUCUGAACAAAAGUGAAUCAGCUGAGGUCAGAGCUAUUGUCUGUGAAAAUCCUUUUAAUCCCCAAGUGACCCUAAAAACGGCCAAUGUUGACCAACAACUUCAUGAAAGUUUACGACAAAUUGAUGGGAGUAAAGAACUGCUUUGACUGUCAGGGCCCACCCCGAACCAGAAAGAUCUGCUUCACAGCGUCGAAGAAGAGUUACUUAAUGUCCGAGGACUAUUUAAAUAGCCCAUUGAAGAAAUAGUUUCUAGGUCAGUUAGUUUAUCAUCAAAAAUGAAUCGGAUUUCGCAUUAGGAAGUGCAAUUUUUAAUGUAGAAUAUACAGGGUGACUGCGAAAUAUAUGCAAAUAUUUUAACCACGGCAUGCAUCCCCCACCCUAGUAGAGUCGCAAUAUAGAAAAAACAAAUUAAAAAUCGAAUGGGGCAAAACCCCCAUGAACCACCCUCGAUACGAAGGCACUGAGCCACCUUGUAAACAGAGUUGGAAAAACGUUCGAAUAAAAACGACGUAAACACUUUCAGUUUUAAUUAAAAGUAAAACCGACUUUUUGCUGCUUAUCAUUCGUUCAUUCAUUUAUUCGUUCAUCGUUAAAGGUCAGUGCGAAAGUUUUUUGGUAAUUUUGAUUCUGACGGAUGUUUGGUCCUUGUCACAACGAUUUUGCAUUGUUUAUUGGAACAGAAGUAAGAGCAACUUAGAAUGCUACUACCAUUUUACAAGAAAUGUUGAAAAUGUUGUCCUUGACUAGCAAUACAGGCGUCCAAGGGUUACAAGAGGUUUGUUGAUGGGUAAAAAAACACCGGAGCAGCGGCUGCCACUUUCACUUGUUGAAACGCUUCGAUAAUUUCUGGACACUGUUGAUUUCCACAAACGAACUGUUUCAUCCAACCAAUACACGUUUCUCGAAAACCGUCUCUUGAAAUCGUACUUGUUGACGAGUCUGUGGAGUUCCAUCGCACAAAAAGUGAGUUACACAACGUGGACAAUCAGCGGGCUCCAAACCGUGCACUUUGUCAACAUGGUAUGGUUGUGACCGUGUACUUUUAAUGUAGGAUGCACUACAAGCUGCGAAAAUCCAAUUUCUUCUUUCUGUCCCAUCACGACCACGAUCGUGAGUUUGAGGUUGAAGGUACCAUGAUCUCGGAGGUGCUGUACCACUGAUGCAAAUGUUCGCGCACACCAAUUACCAUAUCGACACACUCUGCAUUGGAAAACUGGACCAUACACCGAUUUCAACGACCGCUCGAUAAUGACUGGCCCUUUUCGUGUUUUUCACGUUGCGAUUAAAAAAGUGCCUGAUAAAGUUAUUUUUUUGGUUCUUAAUCCGAGUCGCCUGCCCAUUCAUUGCAGUAAUUAUGUAGGUCACGAAACAUUACCAGCGGCGUGUAUAACAAUUUACAUUUAAUUUCAAAUAAUUUUUUCUAGACACUCCUACCACUUAGGACCGUGAAUUUUUGCCAGUGACAUAAUCAUAUUGUGAGCUAUUCCCCUUUUUUUUUUGCAUGUA